CUUGUUCAUUUUCUGUUGGGUACAGACUUAAACUCAAGAUAAUUUUGUUCUAAACAGUAUCAAAGUUCCAAACAGCUACUACAACGAAACAAUCUGGUUUGCCAGAAAACUGUAGAUCACAUUGUUUCUCUAGCAAGAACAAAAUGUUCAUGUGCCCUGGUAACUGUAUGUACUUUUGUGACCCUCAAUCAAAAUAAUUAGGAUCAGUGUGAUACGCAGAACUGUUAGGCUUUUCAGAAGACAUAUUCUGCAAUCUUUCUAAGGUCUAUUCAAAAGCAGUUCUCAGACCUCACACAGUUGAUCAUAACUGGGAUUUCGUUGAGGAUUUAAACAAGUAACUUCAAGUAAACUACUGAUUGCAAAGGAUGCCUUUGGAAUGUAACCCAGUUUGGUGCUUUGUCCUGCUGCAUGAAAGCAAAUGGUCAGAUUUAAGUAUAAGAAGAAGAAGAGCAGCUUAUUCAGUAGACAAUGCUCUGUUACGUCACCAGCAUUGUCACAAUGAUGCAUGAAUGUAAUGGAUCAUCAGAGACUUGUCAGAGAGAAGAUUUAUUACCCCCCAAAUACUUCAAGGAGGUGAGUGUUUGUUUUCCAGCCAAGUGACUGUAUCCUGCGAUGGAAUGAUGGCUAAUGGGAUUUUCUGUGAUGAUUUCUCAGUCAAUUAUAGCACUAGAAGACCUAUGCAGAUGGAUAUGAAAUCAUCCCCAAUGAAAUCAUCCCUGUUUCUAAUUGCAGGAAGAACAAAAAACAACAAAAAAACACCCCCAAAACCAUCUAGCCAGGGGGUCCUGCACAUGUGAAAGGAGGCUUGAGGAAGAUGAACUGGAAACCUACGCAGACAGACUCAAAUUUUUGGUUUGGUUUUUGGCAGAAGUUAGGACACAACUUCAUUGAUUACAAUCAACAAGUUAAAUGUUGAUCACUAGAAAGCAAGAAGAAUCCUUUUAAGAAUAUGAAGCCACAGGAACAAAACCCCAUGCGAAGCGCAGCAAGAAGUCUACAAAGGCAGGAGUUGGAAACCUCAGGCCUGGGACCCAAAUGUCACCUGGCCUCAGGACUCUAGCCAGACCCUGCCUUACCUGGCCUGCUGUGCCCCUGCCUUGAGUGAGUUCACCUAACUGUGUCUUUGAGCUGCAAUGUCUCUUUCAUACUUGGAUGGAGCAUGGAGCAUGUAGCAUGUUGGAUAACCUAUAAAAUAAUUAGAAUUGUAUGCAGCCUUGUUUAGGGAGGCUUUUAAUGUUUAAUUAUUUUAUUUCAUUUUUCUGUUGUAAGCCAGCCAGAUGGGCGGGGUAAUAAUAAUAAUAAU